UACGUAGGGUGCAAGCGUUGUCCGGAAUUAUUGGGCGUAAAGAGCUCGUAGGCGGCUUGUCGCGUCGAAUGUGAAAACCUGCAGCUCAACUGCAGGCUUGCAUUCGAUACGGGCAGGCUCGAGUUCGGUAGGGGAGACUGGAAUUCCUGGUGUAGCGGUGAAAUGCGCAGAUAUCAGGAGGAACACCGGUGGCGAAGGCGGCAUCCUGGACCGAUACUGACGCUGAGGAACGAAAGCGUGGGGAGCGAACAGG
rnacentral:rRNA from 1 species